rnacentral:rRNA from 1 species
AUAUAACCGUACUACAAACCAACGCAGGUAGACAACAAAUAAUAUUGUAAGGCCAAGAUUUAAACAGGUAUAGGGAACUCGGCAAAAUGUUGUUUAAACUUAGGUAUAAGAUAAUCCCUAAUAGGGAAUAAUAUAAAAGACCGCAACGACUGUUUACCAAAAACACAAGACUAUGCAAAGAAUUUAUUCCAAGUAUAUGGUCUGACGCCUGCCCAAAUGCCAUCGGCAAACGGCAGCUGUAACUCUAACAGUUCGAAGGUAGCAAAAUUCCUUGGCGUUUAAUUGGCGUCCCGCAUGAAUGGCGUAACGAUUGCAGUGCUGUCCCAUACCUGUAUUCUGUGAAUUUAAGUUGCCCGUGCAGACGCGGGCUUGUAAUCACAGGACAAAGAGACCCUGUGCACCUUCACAAGCUGAUG